UACGUAGGGACCAAGCGUUGUCCGGAAUCAUUGGGCGUAAAGAGCGUGUAGGCGGCUUGUUAAGUCUUGCGUGAAAUCUCGGGGCUCAACCCCGAGCGGUCGUGAGAAACUGGCAGGCUAGAGUGCGGGAGAGGAGAGUGGAAUUCCUGGUGUAGCGGUGAAAUGCGCAGAUAUCAGGAAGAACACCCGUGGCGAAGGCGGCUCUCUGGAACGGCAUUGACGCUGAGGCGCGAAAGCCAGGGGAGCAAACGGG
rnacentral:rRNA from 1 species